UCUCCCUAUUUCAGCCUCCCAAAGUGCUGGGAUCACAGGUGUGCACCAUCACUGCCAGCUUCAUUGAUUCUUUUGAGAGCAUCAGCCAGUACAUUCAUGGGCACCAUCACAGUGGCACAGAAAGAAGCAGGAGGAGGACAGGAGGGGCAAGCAGGGAGCCACAGGCCACUUCACACUUGUGGGGGAGCCUUGGGGAGAAGCUGCUGUUUCUCCCCCUGUCUGUGGAAUGUCACACACCGCCUCUAGGGAUGGGAAUGUCUGCAAGCUGAGCCCAGCUCCACUGCCUCACAGUGUCCCAGGGGAGGGGCAGGAGGAAGGAUGGCAGGAAGCAAGGCUCCCAGCUGAUGUGGGUAGAGACUUGUAGGAAGGUGGUGGAAAGUUAAGUGGUUUAGAAAAUAAGAGCCUUCAUAUCAGAGGGUCUUGAAUGCCACACUAGUUACUUUGUCUUUUGAUGAACUUCUCAGGGUCCAUCUGACAGAUGAUUCCUACAACCAAAGUGGAAGGGAUUCUCCAACUUUUUACAAAACUUCUAUGGGGGACCAGACUGGUGGUGCACAGCUGUAAGCCCAGGACUCAGGAGGCUGAGGCAGGAGGAUCGCCGUGAAUUCAAGCCUUCCAGGGGCCGAGAAGGAACGCACAGUGGGCGGGCCUUGAAGCCAGUGGUGCAGCCUGUUGAGGUACAGCAGCCUGAAGAACCUCAGGUCUCCAGGGAAUCGAACAUGGAGGUGACAGCACACCCUUGGGCCUCCCAAGGUGGGGGGCAAGGGCAGGGGCUGGAGAAGCUCUGCCUCAGCUCCCAUCAUUGCGGCCCCUCUUGCUGCAUCUCUAGCUGCUGGGGAGUCUUGGCCCAGUUCCUGGGCCAAGGCAAAGGGUGGUUUCUCGGCUGGAGGGUCUCUUGAAACACUCUCAUUUGUAACUUCUGCCUCCACCUCCCUCCACAGACUAGGGGGACACUGAGGACCAUCCCUAAAAAGCAAAAAGAUGUAGCCAGUGUGGGUGUGCACACUUGUAAUCCUAGCCCCCUGGGAGGCUGAGCUAGGAGGAUUGCAUGUUGGAGCCCAGCCUGGGCCACUUAGUCAUUUGGCUAGGGAUGUGGCUCAGUGAACGGCCUGGGGUCCAAUCCCAAGUACCACCACCACCAAAAACAAAGUGGGGUUAGAGGGACAGCAUGAACAGGAGGGCGGGGGACCUGGGCUCUUGGGAAAGCAGCCAUGUGCCACUUCAUUUACCACGGCACCUUCUCUGCAAAGUCACUUUGUUCAGAGCAAAAGCCAGACCUGCAGCCAGAAAGCUUCAUGUUCCUGUUUACAUCCCUGAGCACACCGGAGCCCAGCGACCCUGAAUCGAAAGGCUGUGUGUGAGUAUGAGUGUGUGUUCAUGCGAGUGUGGAUGGGCAUCUGUGUAUGACAUGCAGGAGGCUUCUUCCCCUCAGGAACAUUCACACCUGCGCCAGGACUGAGAAGCCAGGGCCUCUGGCUGGGGGUGAUCCAGCCCUCGUUGCCCACCUGUCUGGGGACUCCUGCAGAUCCAGGAGAGCCAGUUCCUCAGUCAGCAAGACUGGGGCCCACAGCGGACCUCAGAGGAGAUGAAGUGUUUGCAGAAUGUUUGCAUGAGGCUUCGAGAGGCACUGAGCACCACCCAAGCAGACAAUCUGGCCCUGGGAGAGAAGCUGCAAAACCUGCCCAGCUGCCUGUAUGAGAAGCUGAAGGAGGAAAUGCAGGCCUGGCAGGAAGAAGUGAAGGACACUCAGGAGGAAGCCCUGGCUGGGCAGGUAGUGGGCAGCUACAGUGGGAAAGGAUAAGAUGUGGGGCCUCCUGCCCAGCACCUCAAGAUCAAGUUCCUGCACCUUUGCCUGCAGCCCCCCAGCUGCCAGAGGGCAGUGCCACUCCUUCUGCCACCUGACCUUCCCCAAGUACAUGGAAACCAGUCAGCCCUGCCCAGGCCUCAGUCCAGGGACCUGACACCUCCUCUGGAAACCACCCUAUCAGCCUAACAAUAAACU